rnacentral:rRNA from 1 species
GACGAACGCUGGCGGCGUGCUUAACACAUGCAAGUCGAACGGAAAGGCCCUGCUUUUGUGGGGUUCUCGAUUGGCGAACGGGUGAGUAACACGUGAGUAACCUGCCCUUGACUUUGGGAUAACUUCAGGAAACUCGGGCUAAUAUCGGGUAGGAGCUCCUGCUGCAUGGUGGUGGUUGGAAAGUUUCGGCGGUUGGGGAUGGACUCGCGGCUUAUCAGCUUGUUGGUGUGGUAGUGGCUUACCAAGGCUUUGACGGGUAGCCGGCCUGAGAGGGUGACCGGGCACCUUGGGACUGAGGUACGGCCCAGACUCCUACGGGAGGCAGCAGUGGGGAAUAUUGCACAAUGGGCGGAAGCCUGAUGCAGCAACGCCGCGUGCGGGAUGACGGCCUUCGGGUUGUAAACCGAUUUCGCCUGUGAUGAAGCGUGAGUGACGGUAAUGGGUAAAGAAGCACCGGCUAACUACGUG